rnacentral:pre_miRNA from 1 species
CUGCAAGUUCAUUUUCCCAAAUGACCCAGGAAGUGAGGGGGCUGGUUAUUGGGUCAUUAAUGACUCCCCCUCUUCCUGCAGGUUCAUGGUAAAACUGGCAG